UACGUAGGGGGCAAGCGUUGUCCGGAUUUACUGGGCGUAAAGAGCGUGUAGGCGGCCAAGCAGGUCCGUUGUGAAAACUGGAGGCUUAACCUCCAGACGUCGACGGAAACCGCGUGGCUAGAGUCCGGAAGAGGAGAGUGGAAUUCCUGGUGUAGCGGUGAAAUGCGCAGAUAUCAGGAAGAACACCAAUGGCGAAGGCGGCUCACUGGCCCGAUACUGACGCUGAGGUGCGAAAGCGUGGGGAGCAAACAGG
rnacentral:rRNA from 1 species